ACACACACAUCACCCCAGCAACAGUAAGAACAACAAUAAUAAAAACUCACUAACAAAAUAUCUAUAUUUAACUAUUUAUAAGAGAGCUCAUUUCACAGAGUAGGUACAUAACUAUGACAGACUUUUCUGAAUGGUAUUAAUAAGAGAAGAAGAACACUGAGAUUCUUAGAAGGCUGAAUUACCAUAGCAGUUCUGGUUUAAUACAACUUUCUGGGGCUUAGAAACAUGCCAACUUUUGUUAAUGGGUAAGGAACAAACAAGAGAAGGCAACAGACCUCAGGAGCAUAAUAGUUUAUGUCUUCUACAAAUUCUAAACAAAUCAUAUUCAAAAGAAUUCUGUGAAGGAGAAAGUAGAAAAGGCAAGUUCACUUGACAUUAACAAGUGACUAGAAAAAGACAAACAAGCCACUGCACAUAUUAUAUCCUGACAUCACACAAAGCACAGAAUAAUUUUCCUUUCAUUUAUGGUGGGCAAAUUGGCUCUACAACCACCAUAAAUUAUGGGUGACUUUAAGAUCAUACCACAGGAGGUGUGGUUCUCUUGGAACAGAUUACCUAACAUUUAUAAAGUGUUGUAAUUAAUGAUGAUGAGUGAAUAGCUCUCUAUUAGGACACAGUAAGGGAAGGUUACAUGUAGUAAAAUAAACCUGUUUGGUGAUGGUUAUAAACUGGUGAUGAUUUGUGCCAUAGUCUGGAAAGCACCAUAGAGACUCAGACAUAAAUUGUUCCAAGAAAUCCAGCCAGUCUGAGAUUCUGGUGGGGUGGCUAAAUGCCAGAAGAAAUUGUCAUCACAAAGUCGAAGGAUGAGCUUGAAAAGAAGCCCACAACUCUCAUAGCUGGCAAUGUUUACAGAUCCAGGAAAAUGAUUGUGGUUUCAGGAGUCUGUUGGCAGGCCAAAGGGCUCAGGAAGCACACAGAUUUCAGAAGCAAGAGGCCCUGUCUUAAAGGCCUUAUUCCAAUGCAAGGAGAGAUGGGCAGAUUGGUUGAUUUGAAAAGACACUGGGUAAAGUAUUAUUUAAGAAAUGCCUUCUAAUUAUAAGAAAGAAUGUGAAUAUUUUUUAGGAGACAUGCACUUGGAAAUCAAGGAAAGUACUGUACUUAUACGGAAGUCAUCACUGAGC